CCCCUUCCCCAGGACACAGACAACUUAAGCAGCUUAAGAAAUUUCAACCCCUAGGAUCAUAUGAUAACACACAAAAAGCUUUUUUUUUUGCCCAGUUAUGUUUAUUUGAAGACCCUCCUGCUUCUCAUCAGCAGCUUAGAUGAAAGCUCACGUGCUGAGAUCUGAUUUUGCACCCACAGCCCAGACAAUACCAUUGAACAGAAUUUUAAGAGCUUUAGAUCUGCCUGAGGGGUGCAAAUGCACGAGCAGCUCACCUGGCCAACGUGCUCCUGUCCCUCCAAGGCAAGGUUUGGGUGCUCACAGCAUCUCCGGGAGGUUCUGGUUCCUGUUUCUCGUUUUUGGGAAGAGGAGGCUGGAACUCUCUGCCAGAGGCAGCAUCUUCCAGUGCUUCCAGUUUUCCAAGGUACCAUAAAUGGCUGGAGGUGGCACUCAGGUGGGGAUCAGUCACAGUGGGACUCGAUGGCCUUGGAGGUCUUUUCCAACCGUCACCAUUGGUGAUAAACAAUUAAUUAUCUUUUAAUUAUCCAAUCCUUAAUCUCUCCCACCAUUCUGCUCCUUGUUCCUGCCUAGGAACAAUCCAGGAGAUCCCAGCAAGGACCAGCUCCAAACCCCUGAACAUUCCCAAGAAUCCUUCAAAGGAGCAGUUGGCUGCCAGUACCUCAUUCCCUGCUGGAUCAGCAGGAAUUAUCUGUAUUUUGGUACUUCUGGGUCGCAGCUAUUUAAGCUCAUUACAAAAAUAAACAUCAUUUAUUUCGCAGAGCAGAUGCAUCUCCUUCUUCAGAACCUCAUUAAAUUUUCCUAAAAACGCAACACGUGAGGCUGCUGCCAAAAGCUAUUGGCAAACAGCAAAAAUGCCACAGGACUCUGGGUUUCUCCCGAGCCUUUUCCCAAUCUUAGUGCAGGACACAAAGAGACUGGACAGACUUUUAAACGCUUGGUAGUUUUGUUCAUUUAUUGUAGAAAAGUUAUUGUAAUGCAGUUCAUCUUUGUACAUCUAAAUUCCAGAAAACGAAUCCAUAGAAAUGAGGAUACUAUGGGCAUGCAGUCUGCAUGAUCCUGGUCACAAAAAUAACACCACUUUUUUUUUUCCUUUUUUUUUUUUUCUUUU